UGCGAGGAGACAAGUAGAAGACGACGGAGUUGGAAAAGGGGUGGGGCACUUUCAAAACCUUGUUGACGAAGGAGUUCUAAAUAUUGCAGGUAAGAAUAAGAAUGAUGAAUGAGUUGGAAAAGAUCGGCCAAUUACCGAGGCACAUAAUGGACCAAAUCCUGUCGCGUUUGCCAAUUGAGGAUGCAAUGAGGACUAGUAUUUCUGUCAAGAAAGUGGAGAAGUUCAUGCUCUCUCACGAAGAAUUUUGUGCCCUGAGUGACAUUGACCACUGGAUUCUUCAUCUAUCCAGAGUGUCCGUCAAAGAAAUUGUAACUCGACAAUUGGAAAGGGCAAUAUUACAAGAUUCCCACCUCCUUAUUCAAUUGCCAGAACUUGAUUCAUUUGGAAUUGUACAGAUGUUUGGUGAAAAUCUCGUCGAGGUUUGCAGGACUUAAGAACUUGGAAAGUUUGGAUCUUCGACACAUUGAGUUGUCAUCGGACGGGCUUAAGGCUUUGAUUUUCUCUCUGCCCCCUCCUAAAACGUUUGAAGUUGGGGAACUUAGAGGGGAUUUAAGCAAAUUAACAUUAGAGCUGGCAAAAGCAAAUUAACAUUAGAGCUGGCAACCUCGAGUGGCUUGAUGUUGGAGAAGCUUUUCAGGAUGUCGCUUUCAGUGUUAUGAACAGUUUGAAGUCGGUCACGGUUGGUUUCUCUGAUGAUAUUGCUAACAAAUAUGGACCCGGCAAUGCCAACUCGAACAAAUUGCACAAACUCUUCCGAAAUCUGCCCCAAAU